UAAAAAUUUAUUUAUUUUAGGUAGUAACAGAUUUCUUGAAACCUAAAGAAUUUGGCGGUAUUUUAAAUAAUUAGAGGAACCUGUUUUAUAAUUGAUAAUCCACAACGCAUCUUACCUAAAUUGAGUUUGUAUACCGUUGUUUUCAGAUUAUAUUUAAAAAUUAUAAUCAGAAUUAAAUAAUUUUUACAAAUCAAAUCAAGGUGCAGCAUAUUUAGGUUUUAAUGGGUUACAAUAUAUUUAUAUAUUCACAGAUUAAUAAUGAAAAUAUUUUUGAAGGUGGAUUUAAAAGUAAUUUAAAAUUAAAAUGUUUAAGUGAAUAAAAAUUUAAAAUAUGC
rnacentral:rRNA from 1 species